GCGCCCGUAGCUCAGCUGGAUAGAGCGUCUGACUACGGAUCAGAAGGCCAGGGGUUCGAAUCCCUUCGGGCGCACCA
rnacentral:tRNA from 1 species